CCUACGGGAGGCAGCAGUGGGGAAUAUUGCACAAUGGGGGAAACCCUGAUGCAGCGACGCCGCGUGAGUGAGGAAGUAUUUCGGUAUGUAAAGCUCUAUCAGCAGGGAAGAAAAUGACGGUACCUGACUAAGAAGCCCCGGCUAACUACGUGCCAGCAGCCGCGGUAAUACGUAGGGGGCAAGCGUUAUCCGGAUUUACUGGGUGUAAAGGGAGCGUAGACGGCUAAUCAAGUCAGAAGUGAAAGCCCGGGGCCCAACCCCGGGACUGCUCUUGGAACUGCAUGGCUGGAGUACAGGAGGGGCAGGCGGAAUUCCUAGUGGAGCGGUGAAAUGCGUAGAUAUUAGGAGGAACACCGGUGGCGAAGGCGGCCUGCUGGACUGUGACUGACGUUGAGGCCCGAAGGCGUGGGGAGCAAACAGGAUUAGAUACCCGUGUAGUC
rnacentral:rRNA from 1 species